GCCUAAUAGUACGGCUAUCAAGCGCUCUAAUAAAAAUACACAAAACAAAAAAUUCCAAGUGGUGCCAAAAAUAUGAGGUUUUUAAAAAAAAUACAUAUUUAUUGACCUUACUCUACUUUCAUGUACACCACGGCCGCAAAUUAAUGAAAUUUGUUGUGUUUUUGCACUUGCGUUGCUUCUGCAUUCACCAUAAAUAAAGUGCAUGUUUGCGUAUUCUUGUGCCGUAUAUUGAAUACGUGGCAUCUUAAUAAACAAUACCAGUCUAGAUACAAGCCAAGUCGUCGUAAAAUCAC
rnacentral:misc_RNA from 1 species